GGCGGGACACGUGGUAUCCUGUCUGAAUAUGGGGGGACCAUCCUCCAAGGCUAAAUACUCCUGACUGACCGAUAGUGAACCAGUACCGUGAGGGAAAGGCGAAAAGAACCCCGGCGAGGGGAGUGAAAAAGAACCUGAAACCGUGUACGUACAAGCAGUGGGAGCCUACUUGUUAGGUGACUGCGUACCUUUUGUAUAAUGGGUCAGCGACUUAUAUUCUGUAGCAAGGUUAACCGUAUAGGGGAGCCGAAGGGAAACCGAGUCUUAACUGGGCGUUAAGUUGCAGGGUAUAGACCCGAAACCCGGUGAUCUAGCCAUGGGCAGGUUGAAGGUUGGGUAACACUAACUGGAGGACCGAACCGACUAAUGUUGAAAAAUUAGCGGAUGACUUGUGGCUGGGGGUGAAAGGCCAAUCAAACCGGGAGAUAGCUGGUUCUCCCCGAAAGCUAUUUAGGUAGCGCCUCGUGAACUCAUCUUCGGGGGUAGAGCACUGUUUCGGCUAGGGGGCCAUCCCGGCUUACCAACCCGAUGCAAACU
rnacentral:rRNA from 1 species